rnacentral:rRNA from 1 species
GAGUUUGAUCCUGGCUCAGAAUCAACGCUGGCGGCGUGCCUCAGACAUGCAAGUCGUACGCGAAAUCUCCCUUCGGGGAGAAAGUAGAGUGGCGCACGGGUGAGUAACACGUGGGUAAUCUGCCUUUGGGUGGGGAAUAACAGUCGGAAACGGCUGCUAAUACCGCAUAACGCAGCGGCACCUUCGGGUGACAGUUGUUAAAGCGGGGGAACGUCUUCGGACGACCUCGCGCCUAAAGAGGAGCCCGCGGCGGAUUAGCUAGUCGGUGGGGUAACGGCCCACCGAGGCUCCGAUCCGUAGCCGGCCUGAGAGGGCGGUCGGCCACACUGACACUGACACACGGGUCAGACUCCUACGGGAGGCAGCAGUCGGGAAUUUUGGGCAAUGGGCGCAAGCCUGACCCAGCAACGCCGCGUGAAGGACGAAGCAUCUCGGUGUGUAAACUUCAUAAGAGUGGGAAGAAUAAGCGGGGGUUAACACCCCCCGUGAUGACGGUACCACUUGUAAGCCCCGGCUAACUCCGUGCCAGCAGCCGCGGUAAUACGGGGGGGGCAAGCGUUGUUCGGAUUUACUGGGCGUAAAGGGCGCGUAGGCGGCCCGCCAAGUCACUUGUGAAAUCUCCGGGCUUAACCCGGAGCGGCCAAGUGAUACUGACGGGCUGGAGUGCGGAAGGGGCCACCGGAAUUCUCGGUGUAGCGGUGAAAUGCGUAGAUAUCGAGAGGAACACCUGCGGCGAAGGCGGGUGGCUGGGCCGACACUGACGCUGAGGCGCGAAAGCCAGGGGAGCGAACGGGAUUAGAUACCCCGGUAGUCCUGGCCUUAAACGAUGGAUGCUUGGUGUCCGGGGUGACGAAGUCCCCGGGUGCCGGCGCUAACGCAUUAAGCAUCCCGCCUGGGGAGUACGGCCGCAAGGCUGAAACUCAAAGGAAUUGACGGGGACCCGCACAAGCGGUGGAGCAUGUGGUUUAAUUCGACGCAACGCGAAGAACCUUACCUGGGCUAGAAUGCCCCUGACAACCCUGGAGACAGGGCCUCCUAUGGAAACAUAGGCAGGGUGCAAGGUGCUGCAUGGCUGUCGUCAGCUCGUGUCGUGAGAUGUUGGGUUAAGUCCCGCAACGAGCGCAACCC